AUGAACGCUAGCUACAGGCUUAACACAUGCAAGUCGAGGGGCAGCAUGAACUUAGCUUGCUAAGUUUGAUGGCGACCGGCGCACGGGUGAGUAACACGUAUCCAACCUGCCGAUGACUCGGGGAUAGCCUUUCGAAAGAAAGAUUAAUACCCGAUGGCAUAGUUCUUCCGCAUGGUAGAACUAUUAAAGAAUUUCGGUCAUCGAUGGGGAUGCGUUCCAUUAGGUUGUUGGCGGGGUAACGGCCCACCAAGCCUUCGAUGGAUAGGGGUUCUGAGAGGAAGGUCCCCCACAUUGGAACUGAGACACGGUCCAAACUCCUACGGGAGGCAGCAGUGAGGAAUAUUGGUCAAUGGACGAGAGUCUGAACCAGCCAAGUAGCGUGAAGGAUGACUGCCCUAUGGGUUGUAAACUUCUUUUAUACGGGAAUAAAGUGAGGCACGUGUGCCUUUUUGUAUGUACCGUAUGAAUAAGGAUCGGCUAACUCCGUGCCAGCAGCCGCGGUAAUACGGAGGAUCCGAGCGUUAUCCGGAUUUAUUGGGUUUAAAGGGAGCGUAGGCGGACGCUUAAGUCAGUUGUGAAAGUUUGCGGCUCAACCGUAAAAUUGCAGUUGAUACUGGGUGUCUUGAGUACAGUAGAGGCAGGCGGAAUUCGUGGUGUAGCGGUGAAAUGCUUAGAUAUCACGAAGAACUCCGAUUGCGAAGGCAGCCUGCUGGACUGUAACUGACGCUGAUGCUCGAAAGUGUGGGUAUCAAACAGGAUUAGAUACCCUGGUAGUCCACGCCGUAAACGAUGAGCACUAGGUGUCGGGAUCGUAGGAUUUCGGUGCCGCAGUUAACGCAUUAAGUGCUCCGCCUGGGGAGUACGCACGCAAGUGUGAAACUCAAAGGAAUUGACGGGGCCCGCACAAGCGGAGGAACAUGUGGUUUAAUUCGAUGAUACGCGAGGAACCUUACCCGGGCUUGAAUUGCAACUGAAUGAUGUGGAGACAUGUCAGCCGCAAGGCAGUUGUGAAGGUGCUGCAUGGUUGUCGUCAGCUCGUGCCGUGAGGUGUCGGCUUAAGUGCCAUAACGAGCGCAACCCUUAUCGAUAGUUACCAUCAGGUGAUGCUGGGGACUCUGUCGAGACUGCCGUCGUAAGAUGUGAGGAAGGUGGGGAUGACGUCAAAUCAUCAUGCCCCUUAUGAGCAGGGCUACACACGUGCUACAAUGGCGUAAACAAAGGGAAGCGAGCCUGCGAGGGUAAGCAAAUCUCAAAAAUAACGUCCCAGUUCGGACUGCAGUCUGCAACUCGACUGCACGAAGCUGGAAUCGCUAGUAAUCGCGGAUCAGAAUGCCGCGGUGAAUACGUUCCCGGGCCUUGUACACACCGCCCGUCAAGCCAUGAAAGCCGGGGGUACCUGAAGUGCGUAACCGCAAGGAGCGCCCUAGGGUAAAACUGGUGAUUGGGGCU
rnacentral:rRNA from 1 species